rnacentral:rRNA from 1 species
GUACACACCGCCCGUCGCMCCUACCGAUUGGAUGAUUCGGUGAAACUUUCGGACCGUGUGCAGGACGCUCUCGGGCGACUUGUGCGUGGGAAGUUAUUUAAACCUCAUCAUCUAGAGGAAGGUGAAGUCGUAACAAGGUUUCCGUAGGUGAACCUGCAGAAGGAUCA